ensembl:snRNA U6 U6 spliceosomal RNA
GUACUUGCUCAGGCAGUACACAUACCAAAAUUGGAAUGACACAGAGACUAUGAGCAUGGCCCCCGCGCAAGGAUGCGACGCAAAUUCGUGAAGCGUUCCAUAACAAC